rnacentral:misc_RNA from 1 species
CAAAAUUUCAAGUUUAAGCACAUAGAUUAACUUAUCUAAACACCAAAAUUUUAAAAAUGAAACAAAUACCCAAAUGCAAAAUUUUCAUUUAUCAAGCUUCAAUCACGUGGAUAAUCCAAUAAUAAAAUUUCAAAAAUUAAACAAAUCACCAAAUGCCAAAAUUUGAAGAAUCAACCACUGCCUUAACUUCAGUGCCUAUCCUUAACACUUCCAUGGGCCUCAAAGAUCAUAUCCUUGGGUCUACAAUCAACGUGCACCUUGAUUUGUUGCUUUAAUGCGGUGGAUGGACAAUCAAAAUUGCCUCAGUGCCUAUCCUUAACUUUUCCAUAGGCCUCAAUGAUCAGAUCGUUGGUGGACAAUCAAAAUUGCAUUAUGAUUUUAUAAAUGAUCAAUGAUAAAACAAUAAGAGAUGAGACAACAGUACCCACCCAAGCAUUAGAUUAGAUAACAUUACUUACCUAACAAUAAUAGAACCAGAACACUAGAUUAGACAACAAUACUCACCCCAACAGUAGCAUUAGAUUAAUUGCACUAUAAUUUACUACUUGCUAAGCAUUAGAUUCAAUAUAAUACUCACCCAAGUAUUGUUUUGAAUCUAAUGCUUGGGUGAGUAUUAUAUUGAAU